AUCUCCAAACUUUCUUGUGGUGGUUGGAUACCAAUAAUCUCACAAUCAUCAACCAUUCUCAUCGUCUCCACUCCUAUUUAAUGAAUACUCCUCUUCCCUUCACUGAUGUUGUGUCUCUUUGUUCAAGACUCAUCAACCAUGAUGUGUCCGAACGAUUCCUACUAUAUUACCACUAGCAUCUGCAUUUCGUUUCCGUCUGUUGCGAUUAGGGUUCAAAAAAUUCUAUAGUUCUUGGCUUCUUGUGAUGUCCAUUUUAUAAGUGUCAACGUGGCUGAAGGGUGUUUAUUUGUUGAUAUUAUCGAACGGACGUGUCAAUUUAUGGAUAUUUCUCUUUCUUUGCUCAUCUUCUUUCUUCUCCGUUUGUGUUUCUUUCUGCUGAAUGAUUUCUUUCAUCGUCAUCCCUCUCUCUCUCUGUAAGGUAAAAUUUGUCGUCCCUUCUUCUUAUUUUUCCUGUUCUGUGGUUUGAUUGCUUUGUUUAUUUCCGUUGUGUUGUCGUCUAUCUAUAUCAUGUCCGCUUCCUCCAAGCGGACCCGUCACGACGGUGCUUCGUCGUCUUCUGCUGUUCAGAUUGGUCGUCGUCGGAAGUGUUUUGGUGCUUCCUGAGUACAUUGAUAGUGGUGAUUGUAGCUGGGUGUGUGAAUAGGUAACCGCCUUCACUAGUAUCGACAACAUAAUGGAAGGAAGGUAUGACGAAAGUGCUCAUCGCCCUUCCGCAACCUCCGUGCCCCCUUCUUGCGAUCAAUUUUUUUUUUGAAAACUUGACGAAAUCGUAAUCAAUUUCUUACCCCCAGGCAGAAACCCUAGAAUUCCACGAAUGAAAGUAGGAUCGGCCUGUAUUGGUCGGUUGCGGCUGAGUUGGCAAGGGUUUACCGGAGCAGUAGACAUUGAUUUUCAUAUUUUGGAAGCUAUAAUUAAGUUCAAGGUACUGUGAACUCAAGUUCUAGGUCAAAGGGCUUUCUUCAUUACAUUUUCAUACUGGUUUCUAUCCUCCUCAAAGUAGAUAAUGCAAAGAACAAUCUCAACCUCUUCGAAAUUCAUUAGAUGUAAGUAUAAUUUUUUUUUGGAAUCCAUGUUAGAAGUUAUAUUGUAAUUUGGUUUUGUUAAAUUUGUCGAUUUCAUGGUGUUUGAUUCUCAAAUAACCUGUUUACACUUUAUCUCUUACAAUUUUAGAUUGUUAGUCUUAAAAUUAUUUUGAAAUUUGGUUAUGCUUUUGCUUAUUUAAAAGACUUUAUUAAUGCUA